rnacentral:rRNA from 1 species
CCUACGGGUGGCUGCAGUGAGGAAUAUUGGUCAAUGGACGAGAGUCUGAACCAGCCAAGUAGCGUGAAGGAUGACUGCCCUAUGGGUUGUAAACUUCUUUUAUAUGGGAAUAAAAUGUUCCACGUGUGGGAUUUUGUAUGUACCAUAUGAAUAAGGAUCGGCUAACUCCGUGCCAGCAGCCGCGGUAAUACGGAGGAUCCGAGCGUUAUCCGGCUUUAUUGGGUUUAAAGGGAGCGUAGGUGGAUUGUUAAGUCAGUUGUGAAAGUUUGCGGCUCAACCGUAAAAUUGCAGUUGAAACUGGCAGUCUUGAGUACAGUAGAGGUGUGCGGAAUUCGUGGUGUAGCGGUGAAAUGCUUAGAUAUCACGAAGAACUCCGAGUGCGAAGGCAGUUCACUGGACUGCAACUGACGCUGAGGCACGAAAGUGUGGGUAUCAAACAGGAUUAGAUACCCGAGUAGUC